GACGAACGCUGGCGGCGUGCUUAACACAUGCAAGUCGAACGAUGAAGCCUAGCUUGCUAGGUGGAUUAGUGGCGAACGGGUGAGUAAUACGUGAGUAACCUACCUUUAACUCUGGGAUAAGCCUGGGAAACUGGGUCUAAUACCGGAUACGACCAAUCUCCGCAUGGGGUGUUGGUGGAAAGCGUUAUGUAGUGGUUAUAGAUGGGCUCACGGCCUAUCAGCUUGUUGGUGAGGUAACGGCUCACCAAGGCGACGACGGGUAGCCGGCCUGAGAGGGUGACCGGCCACACUGGGACUGAGACACGGCCCAGACUCCUACGGGAGGCAGCAGUGGGGAAUAUUGCACAAUGGGCGCAAGCCUGAUGCAGCGACGCCGCGUGAGGGAUGACGGCCUUCGGGUUGUAAACCUCUGUUAGCAGGGAAGAAGAGAAAUUGACGGUACCUUCAGAGAAAGCGCCGGCUAACUACGUG
rnacentral:rRNA from 1 species